GGAAAACUGGGCGGCAGGCCUAACACAUGCAAGUCGAACGGUAGCACAGAGAGCUUGCUCUCGGGUGACGAGUGGCGGACGGGUGAGUAAUGUCUGGGAAACUGCCUGAUGGAGGGGGAUAACUACUGGAAACGGUAGCUAAUACCGCAUAAUGUCGCAAGACCAAAGAGGGGGACCUUCGGGCCUCUUGCCAUCAGAUGUGCCCAGAUGGGAUUAGCUAGUAGGUGGGGUAACGGCUCACCUAGGCGACGAUCCCUAGCUGGUCUGAGAGGAUGACCAGCCACACUGGAACUGAGACACGGUCCAGACUCCUACGGGAGGCAGCAGUGGGGAAUAUUGCACAAUGGGCGCAAGCCUGAUGCAGCCAUGCCGCGUGUAUGAAGAAGGCCUUCGGGUUGUAAAGUACUUUCAGCGGGGAGGAAGGUGUUGAGGUUAAUAACCUCAGCAAUUGACGUUACCCGCAGAAGAAGCACCGGCUAACUCCGUGCCAGCAGCCGCGGUAAUACGGAGGGUGCAAGCGUUAAUCGGAAUUACUGGGCGUAAAGCGCACGCAGGCGGUCUGUCAAGUCGGAUGUGAAAUCCCCGGGCUCAACCUGGGAACUGCAUUCGAAACUGGCAGGCUAGAGUCUUGUAGAGGGGGGUAGAAUUCCAGGUGUAGCGGUGAAAUGCGUAGAGAUCUGGAGGAAUACCGGUGGCGAAGGCGGCCCCCUGGACAAAGACUGACGCUCAGGUGCGAAAGCGUGGGGAGCAAACAGGAUUAGAUACCCUGGUAGUCCACGCCGUAAACGAUGUCGACUUGGAGGUUGUGCCCUUGAGGCGUGGCUUCCGGAGCUAACGCGUUAAGUCGACCGCCUGGGGAGUACGGCCGCAAGGUUAAAACUCAAAUGAAUUGACGGGGGCCCGCACAAGCGGUGGAGCAUGUGGUUUAAUUCGAUGCAACGCGAAGAACCUUACCUACUCUUGACAUCCAGAGAACUUUCCAGAGAUGGAUUGGUGCCUUCGGGAACUCUGAAACAGGUGCUGCAUGGCUGUCGUCAGCUCGUGUUGUGAAAUGUUGGGUUAAGUCCCGCAACGAGCGCAACCCUUAUCCUUUGUUGCCAGCGGUUAGGCCGGGAACUCAAAGGAAACUGCCAGUGAUAAACUGGAGGAAGGUGGGGAUGACUUCAAGUCAUCAUGGCCCUUACGAAUAGGGCUACCAACGUGCUACAAUGGGCCCUU
rnacentral:rRNA from 1 species